rnacentral:rRNA from 1 species
AACGAACGCUGGCGGCAUGCCUAACACAUGCAAGUCGAACGAGACCUUCGGGUCUAGUUGCGCACGGGUGCGUAACGCGUGGGAACCUGCCCUUAGGUUCGGAAUAACUCCCCGAAAGGGGUGCUAAUACCGGAUAAUGUCUUCGGACCAAAGAUUUAUCGCCUUUGGAUGGGCCCGCGUUGGUUUAGCUAGUUGGUAGGGUAAAAGCCUACCAAGGCGACGAUCCAUAGCUGGUCUGAGAGGAUGAUCAGCCACACUGGGACUGAGACACGGCCCAGACUCCUACGGGAGGCAGCAGUGGGGAAUAUUGGACAAUGGGCGAAAGCCUGAUCCAGCAAUGCCGCGUGAGUGAUGAAGGCCUUAGGGUUGUAAAGCUCUUUUACCCGGGAUGAUAAUGACAGUACCGGGAGAAUAAGCUCCGGCUAACUCCGUG